UAGUUCAUUCUCGUACUUCUAUAAAGAAAUACCUGAGACUGGGUAAUUUGUAAAGAAAGGAGGUGUAAUUGGCUCACAGUCCUGCAGGCUAUAAGGAAGCGCAGCAGCUUCAGCUUGGCUUCUGGGAGGCCCCAGGAAACUUACAAUCAUGGCAGAGGCUCAGGG